CAGGAAAUAAAGAAAAGCGUAUCCUCCCACCUUAUCCGCAGAUCUCACACGUCCAUCUCAACGGCGGACUGCAAAGUGCGUGUACACGUUUUGUUGUUAUGCUGCGCGCUGCAAGGGUCGACGCAGAGAGGCAGAGGGGGCGAGAGACAGAACUGACAGCGCCUCUCCCUUUUCGGUCGUGCACCCCUCGCGCAUUCCUUCGACGUAAAGCGUUUCAUUGAAGCGAGAAGCAAGCGGAGAAAAACGAAAACUCGAAAGCUCAGAAAGGGCCGCGGUAGUUGCAAGCGGUACCACCUGUAUAGAGGUAGAAGACCGAUUUCUGAAGCUCCACAGCGCAUCGUUCUUACAAUCCCUAUCGCCAUGGCACCUGUGAACGUGGAAAGGGUGUGCUCGGUGUUUCACUUGUUCGCGGUGGACGCGGCCGACGCGCACGCCGACGCCGACGCCGCUGCCGCUCGGGAUGAGAUUCGCGAGCCGUACAUCCCCGUCUGCUUCUUGGCUGCGGCGGCACGGGAGGUGGGAUACUACCCCACCCCCACUGCCAUUCAUCAGUUCACUGAGACGGUGUCGGGCGCCGCGGCUGGCGUCGUGACAUUCGCAGGCUUUCUGCAGUUCUGUGAGGAUGUUGCGCACACAAACCAGCCAGGGCGGUCGGUUAUUCACAAGAUGGUAGAGAGCAUAGACCCAAGCGGUAGUGGAGUGAUUAGCCAUCGCGAUAUCUUUCUUAUCUUGACCAGCGGCUCUGCUACCAUCACUGACGGCGAGAUCGACGCCGCGAUGAAGCUGCUGGAUCCGACGAACAGCGGAUGCGUCCGGCUCAGCGACCUGGAAGCCGUGCUCGUCGACUCAUGCGAACGCCAGCGGUUGGCGUCUGAGUCGCGAUUGUCGUCAGACAAUCAGCAGCAACAGAAGGAGCAGCCGCAGCAUGAGCCAUCCGUCGUUUGCACGACGGUAGCCGAGAAAAGUCACCAGCCGUUGCACUCCACUGACAUCACCACAGCUGCUGUCAUCCCCCAGGCGGGCUCGCCGGCGCCUCAUCCGCAGCAACUGCAGCACUGUGACACAGCACGCCACCCUCAAUCGGGGCACAUGCCCGCGCAGCAGGAGGACCCGAAGCAGCAUCCAAAGUGGCGGCGAAGGGCCUUCAACAGACGGAGGUACGAGGCCCCACGGUCCCCGCCGCCUGCAACGACCGCGACAGAGGGGGAACGCUCACAGGGGCAGGGACAGCGCUGGUGCGCCGCCGCGGUUAGCGAGUGCGAUAGCCCCUUACAGCACGCAUGCACCGGCUCGACCGGUGAGGCAGUUUCUCCGUGCCGCCAGAGCCUGUGCAACAGGCAAGACACGUUUGAGGGGACGCAGACGUCCAUGACGGUAGAUGUGAAUCUGCAGCUGUCACCCUGCCAGCCUACAGCGGAGGUGCGGCGCAGGAAGUUUGCCAGGAACUUCUCGGCCACCGCGUCGAACUUCGCCGCACAGACGCGGCUACGCCCUCCCCGGUGUGCUGCCUCUGCAACCGCAGCCAAAGAAGUAUCGUCUCACGAGGGAGCUGAGAACAGCAAUGAGCUGCGCCCUCAUCACAGCAACAGCGCAGAUGCGAACGGCAGCGCACGCCGCAACGGGGCCCAGGGGCGCGAGUCGAAACAGCAGAAGUACUCCGGCGCGGCGUCAGACGCAAGGGGUCGUAGUGCGUUGGCCGAUGCCGAUAGCCCAUCGGCUGCAGAGAGGGAAUGGGCAAUGAUUGCCACCAUACCGACGAGUAAAACGAGUGGAUCGAAGUGCUGCAACAUGUUCUAGUGCAUCUGCCUGCCCGUGUAGCCCUCUUUCUCUACCUAUCUCGUAGAUUCUAUUCAUUUAUGUGUGAGUGCAUGUGCUCUUGCGAAACUUACGCGCGCGCCGACGACCCGAUAUACCCGUGCGCUUCCUGUGCCCCCCCCCCCAGCUAAAAUCCGUGGCGUGACGGUAGAAAGGAGUGUGUGUGAGAGAGGGGCUUGCUUGGGCGAUUGCAUCGACACCAAUGCAGGGGCAACUCUUCGUGCGCGUGCUGGCACGUGUGUACGUUGAGUACGAUACAGCGCGAUGGGAUCUCCUCCACGACCUUCAGGCACCCUCAUCCGCGUCUGUAGUCACGCAUUGCUCCUCUGAGCUUUUUUGUUUUUUUUUUUGCGAACGCAUCUUUCACUUACUCUCACCCACCCGCUUCGGUCCCUCUAAACUCUCCCCUGACGAGCCUCUGCCGGGCUCGCAGCGAACCCAACCGAAAAAGCGCAGCGGUUCGUGCAAAUGGGAAGGGGAGAGUAGUGUGGGUGUGGGUGGGCUGGUCGUGGUCGCUUACCAACGCCAAUGCCCCGUUGCUGUUUUUUUUGUCUCUCUUGGCCAUUAUGUCACUAAUUCCCACCCUCCCUUCCACCUCUUUUUGCGCCGUUUCUUUUUAGUGGCAUCGUUAUAUAUAUAUAUAUAUAUUCUGUGCUCGGUUUUCUAGGGGCCCAUUGUGGUGUUGCGUGGGUAUGCGUGUGUGUAUUGGGUAGGAGUGGGUCGGGGCCGAUGAAAGGAGAAGGAGGGAGGGUCGGCUGCCCUGUCCAGUGGCCGUUAUGCACUACUCCGCUGUUAAAAUGUCUGUCUGUCUCUCUGCAGGUCAUCCUGCCCGCCCGCCCACCCUCGUCAUCGCCCCCUGCCUCCUUCCCCGCCACUCUCCCUUCUUUCGAAGCCGGCGUUCAGGACAGCGCUUCUUUUGGGCUUUUCCCCCUCAGUGACGUGUGCGCAAACAACGAAACAAACUAAAGUAGAAGGAAAAAGUAAACAGCAGCGACAGCACCAGUCUUUGUGCCUGCGAAUCCUUGCACCGUUCUCGGGCCCCCUCCUCUCUCUUUUUUCAUGUGUGUGUGCAGGCAGGUAGGUGGGUGAGUGAGUCUGGGAGGGGCAGGGCCUGUUUUCUUUCAUGGCCUUGCUGUCCGCUAUUGUGCUUGUGCAACACGCUUAUCUCCCUCCCUCGCAUUUUCUUUGUUUAUGCCUUACCAUGCCUUUUUUGCGUAUUUCAGAAG
rnacentral:misc_RNA from 1 species